CACGUAGGGGGCGAGCGUUGUCCGGAUUUAUUGGGCGUAAAGAGCUCGUAGGUGGCUCGGUAAGUCGGGUGUUAAACCCCCAGGCUCAACCUGGGGACGCCACUCGAUACUGCUGUGGCUAGAGUCCGGUAGGGGAGCGUGGAAUUCCUGGUGUAGCGGUGAAAUGCGCAGAUAUCAGGAGGAACACCAGCGGCGAAGGCGGCGCUCUGGGCCGGUACUGACACUGAGGAGCGAAAGCGUGGGUAGCAAACAGG
rnacentral:rRNA from 1 species